UACGUAGGGGGCGAGCGUUGUCCGGAUUUAUUGGGCGUAAAGAGCUCGUAGGCGGUUUGGUAAGUCGGGUGUGAAAUCUCCACGCUCAACGUGGAGGGGCCACUCGAUACUGCCAUGACUCGAGUCCGGUAGAGGAGUGUGGAAUUCCCGGUGUAGCGGUGAAAUGCGUAGAUAUCCGGAGGAACACCGGUGGCGAAGGCGACAUCCUGGACCGGUAUUGACGCUGAGGCGCGAAAGCCAGGGGAGCAAACGGG
rnacentral:rRNA from 1 species